AGUGCUUAAUGCGUUAGCUGCAGCACUAAAGGGCGGAAACCCUCUAACACUUAGCACUCAUCGUUUACGGCGUGGACUACCAGGGUAUCCAAUCCUGUUUGCUCCCCACGCUUUCGCGCCUCAGCGUCAGUUACAGACCAAAAAGCCGCCUUCGCCACUGGUGUUCCUCCACAUCUCUACGCAUUUCACCGCUACACGUGGAAUUCCGCUUUUCUCUUCUGCACUCAAGUUCCCCAGUUUCCAAUGACCCUCCACGGUUGAGCCGUGGGCUUUCACACCAGACUUAAGAAACCGCCUGCGCGCGCUUUACGCCCAAUAAUUCCGGAUAACGCUUGCCACCUACGUAUUACCGCGGCUGCUGGCACGUAGUUAGCCGUGGCUUUCUGGUUAGGUACCGUCAAGGUACGAGCAGUUACUCUCGUACUUGUUCUUCCCUAACAACAGAGUUUUACGACCCGAAAGCCUUCAUCACUCACGCGGCGUUGCUCCGUCAGACUUUCGUCCAUUGCGGAAGAUUCCCUACUGCUGCCUCCCGUAGGAGUCUGGGCCGUAUCUCAGUCCCAGUGUGGCCGAUCACCCUCUCAGGUCGGCUAUGCAUCGUUGCCUUGGUGAGCCGUUACCUCACCAACUAGCUAAUGCACCGCGGGCCCAUCUGUAAGUGAUAGCCGAAACCAUCUUUCAAUCAUCUCCCAUGAAGGAGAAGAUCCUAUCCGGUAUUAGCUUCGGUUUCCCGAAGUUAUCCCAGUCUUACAGGCAGGUUGCCCACGUGUUACUCACCCGUCCGCCGCUAACGUCAUAGAAGCAAGCUUCUAAUCAGUUCGCUCGACUUGCAUGUAUUAACACGCCGCCAGCGUUCAUCCUGAGCCA
rnacentral:rRNA from 1 species